rnacentral:rRNA from 1 species
UACGAAGGGGGCUAGCGUUGCUCGGAAUUACUGGGCGUAAAGGGCGCGUAGGCGGACAGUUUAGUCAGAGGUGAAAGCCCAGGGCUCAACCUUGGAAUUGGCCUUUGAUACUGGCUGUCUUGAGUUCGGGAGAGGUGAGUGGAAUGCCGGAGUGUAGAGGUGAAAUUCGUAGAUAUUCGGCGGAACACCAGUGGCGAAGGCGACUCACUGGCCCGGAUACUGACGCUGAGGCGCGAAAGCGUGGGGAGCAAACAGG